rnacentral:rRNA from 1 species
GCAUGGCUGGGUAGCUAUGUACGGAAUGGAUAAGCGCUGAAAGCAUCUAAGCGCGAAGCCAACUUCAAGAUAAGAUUUCCCACCGCAAGGGUAAGACCCCAGAAAGACUAUCUGGUUGAUAGGUCGAGAGUGUAAGUGCAGCAAUGUAUUUAGCUUAUCGAUACUAAUAGGUCGAGGACUUGACCAA